UCCCUGGCAGUUUAGUGGUUAAGACUCAGUGCUUUCACUGCUGUGGGCCUGGGUUCAGUUCCUGGUCAGGGAA
rnacentral:tRNA from 1 species